CCUACGGGAGGCAGCAGUGGGGAAUAUUGCACAAUGGGGGAAACCCUGAUGCAGCGACGCCGCGUGAAGGAAGAAGGAUUUCGGUAUGUAAAAUUCUAUCAGCAGGGGAGAAAAUGACGGUACGUGACUAAGAAGCCCCGGCUAACUACGUGCCAGCAGCCGCGGUAAUACGUAGGGGGCAAGCGUUAUCCGGAUUUACUGGGUGUAAAGGGAGCGUAGGCGGUGUCGCAAGACAGAAGUGAAAGCCCUGGGCUCAACACCGGGACUGCUUGUGAAACUGUUGAACUAGAUUGCAGGAGAGGUAAGUGGAAUUCCUAGUGUAGCGGUGAAAUGCGUAGAUAUUAGGAGGAACACCAGUGGCGAAGGCGGCUUACUGGACUGUAAAUGACGCUGAGGCUCGAAAGCGUGGGGAGCGAACAGGAUUAGAUACCCGUGUAGUC
rnacentral:rRNA from 1 species